rnacentral:rRNA from 1 species
GACGAACGCUGGCGGCGUGCCUAAUACAUGCAAGUCGAGCGCAGGAAAUCGACGGAACCCUUCGGGGGGAAGUCGACGGAAUGAGCGGCGGACGGGUGAGUAACACGUAAAGAACCUGCCCUCAGGUCUGGGAUAACCACGAGAAAUCGGGUCUAAUACCGGAUGGGUCAUCGGACCGCAUGGCCCGAGGAUGAAAGGCGCUUCGGCGUCGCCUGGGGAUGGCUUUGCGGUGCAUUAGCUAGUUGGUGGGGUAAUGGCCCACCAAGGCGACGAUGCAUAGCCGACCUGAGAGGGUGAUCGGCCACACUGGGACUGAGACACGGCCCAGACUCCUACGGGAGGCAGCAGUAGGGAAUCUUCCACAAUGGACGAAAGUCUGAUGGAGCAACGCCGCGUGAACGAUGAAGGCCUUCGGGUCGUAAAGUUCUGUUGUAAGGGAAGAACAAGUGCCGCAGGCAAUGGCAGCACCUUGACGGUACCUUGCGAGAAAGCCACGGCUAACCACGUGCCAGCAGCCGCCGUAA